rnacentral:rRNA from 1 species
UAGGGAAUAUUGGACAAUGGGUGCGAGCCUGAUCCAGCCAUGCCGCGUGCAGGAAGGAGGCUUUCUGAGUUGUAAACUGCUUUUGCCAGAGGAUAAAAAGCCCACGCGUGGGAAAUUGAAGGUACCUGGUGAAUAAGCCACGGCUAACUACGUGCCAGCAGCCGCGGUAAUACGUAGGUGGCAAGCGUUGUCCGGAUUCAUUGUGUUUAAAGGGUGCGUAGGCGGCCUGUUAAGUCAGGGGUGAAAGACGGUGGCUCAACCAUCGCAGUGCCCUUGAUAAUGAUGGGCUUGAAUGGACUAGAGGUAGGCGGAAUGUGACAAGUAGCGGUGAAAUGCUUAGAUAUCGUCAAGAACACCGAUAGCGAAGGCAGCUUACUCAGCAGUAACUGACGCUGAGGCACGAAAGUGUGGGGAUCAAACA